GUAUUGAUAUCGUAAAAGAUUCAUAUUAUAAAUGGUUUUCUGUCAAAUUUACAUUUAUGUAAAAAUUAUACUACGAAUAUUAUUUUAUCUUUGAAAUUUAUUAUUUUUAUUUAUAAAUGAAAUAUAUAAAUUUUAACAAGUAAUUCAGUCAAUCAAUAAAUAAAUUACGUAUAUUAAUUCUUGAACAUUAGUUAUCAUAAAUUUUAACCUCUACAAAACGACAUUUCUCGAAAAGCGUCGAUGAAUGUAAUGUCAUGAAUUGUUAUACGAAUAUGCAACGUAAUAAUGGUAUUUUGAAAAUUAAUGUGGCGAAUACAAGGUUAGAUUGGAAUAUGACAUUUGUUCUGAAACUAUUAUAAUUUUUAUCUUCUUUAUUUUUACAAUAAAUCCAUUGAAGAGGAAUAUCAAUAUCAAAAGUUAUAACAGAAUUUUGUAUGAUUAAAACAAUUAUGAAAACAAUGGCAUCCGAGAAUUUUUUUGGGAGUGGUGGCACAUUUCAUCGUGCUUUAAUGUUUAUGCUCAAACUUGGUUGGCAAUCACGAUUUCGUCUCCCAAUUCUUCUAGUUAUUGUACUUGUCGCUAUGGAUUACAGACUUCAAUUAGAAAUUGAAUUUGAAGUUAAUCCUGAGCAACAUAAUCAUUUGUGAUUUAAGAAAAAUUAUUUAUAAGUUAAUUCUAGAUUAUAUCAUUGAAGAAAAAUUUAAAUCAUCAUAGAAAGUGCAAAAAGCUAUUUUUCACUCUAUAAUAAGAAUUUCAAGGAUUAAAGGGUAUUGUUGAUACUUUUAUUCAUAUACUUUUGUUAUAGUUUCUAAUUGUUGCAGAUUGAUGCUGUAUUAGAAUUAUAUAGGCUAAGAAAA